rnacentral:lncRNA from 1 species
GGGAAGUAUUUUUUCACCCAGGGAGUUGUUGGUCAAUGGAAUUUAUUACCAGCAGAGGUAGUGAUAGCAACCAGCCUAGAAAGUGUUAAGAACGGGUUAGUCAAAUUCAUGAAGCUGAUUAAUAGCUACUAGAAUUGAUGCCUAGGUCCUGCCUCCAGGGUAGAAAGACAGCAGGAGACCUCUAAAGGCCAUUUGCNGGGAAUCAAGAGCAGGUGAAGGUUUUGUCAUUUAUUCUGCUUGAGAAUGCCCAGAAGCAAUUGGUGNGCCACUGUGUGAGACAGGGUGCUUCAGUAGAUGGCUCAUGGCCCGAUCCAGCAGGGCUCUUUAUCUCUGAGUAUCACUCAGGCNAGCACCAGUUUUGAAUUCUGUGUCCUAUAGGCCUGUAAGGUCUAAUUUUGUAGCCCGCAGCAGUAAAACUUUGGGCAGUUCAAUUCAAUUCAGACAGACACAUGCUAGGCAGCAAAACAAAAGCAUCUCCAAUAUAUCAGUGCUUGAAUGUUGAGUGUUAUUCAUAUGGACUGGAAAACUGUGUAACCUCGGACUGUAGUCAAUAAACUGAGUAAAAUGUUUUAAUCUUAAGAUAGUAAUCAAAAGCUGACUUGAUAAAAUUGUACAUGUUCAAAAUAUAUUUACAAGUUGCUUUUUUAUUUAAACACAAAAGAAAAGUCAUUCAAGCUGAAGAUAUUUAGGACUUUAUCGGUGACAGUAAUCCUUGGAAUCACCUGGAUUUGGGGCUAUCUGGUGCUAAUAAACCAUGAGCAAACAAACCUUACUUUCAGCUACUUGUUCUGUAUUUUCAAUACUACCCAGGGACUCCAAAUCUUUGUUUUUUAUCUUUUGUCAACAUCCAUUGUCAAAAGGAAGGUCACUCAAGUUUUUGCAUCCAUAUCUGAGAUAUGAAUUUACUUGCACUCAGAGACAUAUUCCCUUUUAGACAGGCUUCGUGGAAAGUCUGCUUAUGAGUCCUAUAAGCCUACCUAUCUAUGAGAUCUUAUAGUGACUUAUUUCUGUCAAGCAGCAAAGAAGAGCUAUGCAGAAAAUAAGAAUGCAAAAUGGUGAUGUUAGAUUAUCUGUGCAAACCUGGAAAAUGUUAUUGGAAAACUUCAAGGAGAUGAAACAUGACACCAGUGGUACAAACAGAUGUAAUGUUGCUGCAUGAAACUUUAAGCACAGACAUUUUCUUUAUCACCAAGACUAUCACCUCAAUUGAAAUAAAUAAUUUGUGCUUAUAUACA